rnacentral:rRNA from 1 species
UGUUACAGCUCAACCACCCUGAGCACACCUGGGCUCGUCUGAUCUAAGCAGGGUCAGGCCUGCAUACUAAUGGGUGGAGGACCACCUGGGAACACCAGGUACCAUUAGGA